rnacentral:rRNA from 1 species
GGGCCGACUAUGUCGACUUGGAGGUUGUGCCCUUGAGGCGUGGCUUCCGGAGCUAACGCGUUAAGUCGACCGCCUGGGGAGUACGGCCGCAAGGUUAAAACUCAAAUGAAUUGACGGGGGCCCGCACAAGCGGUGGAGCAUGUGGUUUAAUUCGAUGCAACGCGAAGAACCUUACCUGGUCUUGACAUCCACGGAAGUUUUCAGAGAUGAGAAUGUGCCUUCGGGAACCGUGAGACAGGUGCUGCAUGGCUGUCGUCAGCUCGUGUUGUGAAAUGUUGGGUUAAGUCCCGCAACGAGCGCAACCCUUAUCCUUUGUUGCCAGCGGUCCGGCCGGGAACUCAAAGGAGACUGCCAGUGAUAAACUGGAGGAAGGUGGGGAUGACGUCAAGUCAUCAUGGCCCUUACGACCAGGGCUACACACGUGCUACAAUGGCGCAUACAAAGAGAAGCGACCUCGCGAGAGCAAGCGGACCUCAUAAAGUGCGUCGUAGUCCGGAUUGGAGUCUGCAACUCGACUCCAUGAAGUCGGAAUCGCUAGUAAUCGUGGAUCAGAAUGCCACGGUGAAUACGUUCCCGGGCCUUGUACACACCGCCCGUCACACCAUGGGAGUGGGUUGCAAAAGAAGUAGGUAGCUUAACCUUCGGGAGGGCGCUUACCACUUUGUGAUUCAUGACUGGGGUGAAGUCGUAACAGGUAAACCGUAAAAGGG